GUGAUCCAGAAAGGUAAACAUGGAUUAGACCUUUUCUCCAAUAAUCACAUCAUGUAUUAGGGGUACAUGAUCAGUUCUUGAUUCUCUUAGACUUUUACUGACCUAUUUUAAACCUCGAAUAACAAUCAGGUGGACAUGACAGAGGAGAUGAUAACUUGCAGCAGGAAGAAAAUUCUGCAAACAUAGUAGCUUCACCUACACUGAUUUUAGCACGUACCCAGCUUUUCUUUUAGAGUUGGAUCCAGGUGCAAUGCAGUGCAAUUGCCAUUCAGCCAUUCAUUCAGUGCUGUGCUCCAUGUGCAGGACUCCUGACAAGUAGCAGAAAUGAUGACCUCUGAUACCCCAUCCUUUACAAUGAAGUAAUUUUUAGUGUAUUAUUUGCAUCCUAGGACCCUUCUCAUUCAUUUCUUUGCCUUUAAGUGGCUUUCUCAGCCAUUGCAUUUGCUUUGCCUGACAUGUUGUUAAUCUUUUUUCCAAGCAGUGGAACUUCGUGACUUGCUUAGAAAACUAGAUAUGUGCUUAUAAGCACAGAUCUCUGAGUAUUUUGACUGCUUAGUUAUAUCUAGGAUUGGCCAUUUUCAUUUUGCUUGGCACAAGAAAAUCAGAACGCUGUUACUAAAGUAGACAAGCUUUAAUCCUCAAAUCAUUUGAGCACUUGCAAUAGGUUUUAGUUUUUGAUAAACUGAAUUUAAAAAUGGAAGUCUUUUACUCCAUCCUGUUAUCCAACACAUGUUUUUGGCCCCAGCUGUGCCUCUGGAAGAAAUUCCUAUUCCUGACUGAUCAUGUCUCUAUCUAUGCGCUAUGGCUAUGCCCUGGCUUCUACCAGCAGAUUGGAACAUGUAAAUAUUGCCUGUCAGCAAUAAUUACUUACAUUACUUCAGCAAGAUAAACCAUAUUAGCUGAGCCCAAUUCAAAGGGUUGGAUCAGCUACCUUGGCUCAUUUACAUAGAGGUGGUCAACAUGGCUUUCACAUUAACUGCCCUACAGAUGGGGCUGGGAGGUUGCCCAUGGCAGUGGACAGGUAGAAGUAGCUAUGAGGGAAUGCAUUUUCUAGCAGUGUUGCUAACCCUGAUGAGUUUAUCCUCCCAAAAUAUGACCAUAACAAAAAAAAUCUGCUCUUGGAAGAGACUUGAUCUCUGGCAUUUUUUAUUUACUAGAAAGAGAUUGGUGCCUUCAUGCCACUCUUAGAGAAUUGGAAGAUACCAUUUACUGGAAAAUGUCUUAUUUUCCAUUGAUCAUAGGGACUGUUUUAGACCAAGUGACAAGACUUUUGGUUCCUGAAGCUAGGUGAGAUGUUUUCCACUCACUCACUGUUUGCACAAGCUUUAUGAAACCUCAGAUAUGUAUGGUAAUGUAAUUAUAAGCAGCAUGAAAGUUGACUGCAUGUACCCAGGUACAGAUCCUACAUAACUGCUAUAGGGCAUGGAAGGAAAGGUAAGUGCAGUAACAUUUCCUUAUGUGAGUACACUUACUCUCAAUUAUAAAAGCUGCAAUUUCUUCCCUCUCCUUAACAGCAUACUGGGAGACCAGCAGAUGACUUGCAGAGAGGUGGAAGAGGAGGUAUGGAAUGGGCUGUUGCUAUUUUCCAUAUGGAUGCAUAGGUGUGAGCUUAUGGCCCUGCACACAAUGGCUGGUACAGCUGAGCUAGUACAGCUGGAGGAUUCAUCCAGGUUACUCUUUCCUGGAUCAAGACCAGGAAAAAAAAAAAAAAAAAUAGGAAAGAAAGAAAGACUGAGAAUUCUGCCUCCUCAUGUCCCAGUUCUUCCCCAGGUGGUUCAGCUUACAUUGCCUCUCCCUCCUGGCCCACAAAACUCCUUGGGUUGGGCUGUACUUGGGCACAAAGUACUAUGUUAUUCAAACAAACGUCCAAUUUGAGAUGCCUGUGGCCUUUCUAUGUCCCAGCUAGAUAUAUUAAUAGGUCACAAGUUAAACCUGGGUGUCUGCUUGCUAACAUUUCGAAAAUAAAAGCCUGUGUUCUGAGUGUUGUCAAUAAGCUCACUUGCACAAGAGGUCUAUUUAGUCUCAAAGACAGCAAAGCCAGAUCAGUGGUUUGGGGAGAAGAAACAGCUACUUGAACUUUAUAGGUUAAGAAAAUCCCCAGCUAAAGUGGAUCAUCAUUAAUAAGUUUCCAGUUACAUCCAAAGAACAGUCAACACCAAUGUUAUGUGAUCAGGAUGGUGACUCCAGGUGUGAAUACUCUCAAGCUGGUGGGGGAAGAAGAGACACAAACUACAUCUGAACCUGUAUGCUGGGAUUCAAUGCCUGCUCUAGUUCUUGUAUUUCUCUUCUGACCAGAGGAAAACAAUACUGUUAAUUGCUUCAUUUGAAGCUUUGGACUAUAGAAAGGGCAGCUUGAUGUGAAAAAGAUAAAGCAUAAAGAAGUUCCACCUGAGCCCAUUUAGAUCACAGAUAGCUCAUCAGGCUUUGUUACCAAAGUGUCUGUGGUCAUCACAAGGCUGGUGGAGGAGUAUUAGGACACAUGGAUAGAGGCUGGUGUUGCACGGGGUUCUCCCAUCACCUCACCCACAGCUGACUCCUGUGGAGACACUCAGUAUCAUAAGUCCUUGAAAUAAAGCAUUUGAGGCAGUCCAAGAAAAAAUGCAUUUAUGUAUUUAUUAGUUUGUUCAUGUAUUUAUGUCUUAUUUAUUUGAAUAGAGUGGAGACAGUUUCCUUCAUGGUAGCUUGUAGAAAAGGCCAAACUUAAUGUCCAUGUGGAGCAAAGCCAGAUAACAGAAUACUGAAAUUCUCUGUGAAACAGAACUUCUGCCCCUGGGGGCUGCAGAAGCCCACGUGGAAGGUGUCCGAGCCGCUAGCUUACAGCCAGGAGAAACAUCUCCUGUCAACACGACACAAGGAGAAAGAGUGGGAAGGAAGGGGAUGGAGAAAUGAUUUUGCAAAACAUUUUCCCUGCUUUGUUUGGAUUGGAAGCCUCUUUCACCAUGGCCCAGCAGACAGCCCUCACAUUGCUUGGAAAUUGUGCCCAGUUCAUUCUUGCAUAGAGGCGAAGCUGGGGCUGUUUGCUAUGGCCGGUGCCAGCGUUCUCAGCAACUUACAGGAAGGAAGGUCUUGUUCUUAAAAAAAAAAAUGCCCCAAGCCCCCCUUGAUCUCAGGAGCAAGAAGACUGAAUCUUAUCCCAAGCCCAGUGCUCAUACUGGGUGGCCUUGGACAAGUCACACUGCUGACUCUGUUCUGCUCUACCUGAAAAAGAAGGAUGAAGUGCAGCAGGGGGAUAUUGCUCCCUGGUAGAAGGAAUGCUGCACACCAGGAGCCACUGGAAAAACCUCAGAUGGAUAAAACGGGCUCUGUAGCUUUGUUUCAUUCCCCUGCUGUUGUGUCAAAGUCAGUAUAUUUGGUAAUUUUUGCAUGGUCCUUUGAGAGACAUCCCAAG